rnacentral:rRNA from 1 species
GACGAACGCUGGCGGCGUGCUUAACACAUGCAAGUCGAACGGAAAGGCCCUGCUUUGCUGGGGUGCUCGAGUGGCGAACGGGUGAGUAACACGUGAGUAACCUGCCCUUGACUUUGGGAUAACUUCAGGAAACUGGGGCUAAUACCGGAUAGGAGCUCCUGCUGCAUGGUGGGGGUUGGAAAGUUUCGGCGGUUGGGGUUGGACUCGCGGCUUAUCAGCUUGUUGGUGGGGUAGUGGCUUAGCAAGGCUAUGACGGGUAGCCGGCCUGAGAGGGUGACCGGCCACAUUGGGACUGGGAUGGGGCCCAGAGUCCUACGUGGGGCAUCGGUGGGGGAUAGUGCACAAUGGGCGGAGGCCUGAUGCAGCAACGCCGCGUGGUGGAUGACUGCCUUCGGGUUGUAAAGCGCUUUCGCCUGUGACGAAGCGUGAGUGACGGUAAUGGGUAAAGAAGCACCGGCUAACUACGUG